UACGUAGGUGGCAAGCGUUGUCCGGAUUUACUGGGCGUAAAGGGCGUGCAGGCGGUCUGUUAAGUCUAGGGUGAAAGCUCCCGGCUCAACUGGGAGAGGUCCUUGGAUACUGGCGGACUUGAGGGAGGCAGAGGAAAGUGGAAUUCCCGGUGUAGUGGUGAUAUGCGUAGAUAUCGGGAGGAACACCAGUGGCGAAGGCGGCUUUCUGGGCCUUACCUGACCGCUGAG
rnacentral:rRNA from 1 species